rnacentral:rRNA from 1 species
UACGGGGGGGGCAAGCGUUGUUCGGAUUUACUGGGCGUAAAGAGCGCGCAGGCGGUCGUUCAAGUCGGAUGUGAAAGCCCCCGGCUCAACUGGGGAGGGUCAUUCGAUACUGAUCGACUCGAAGGCAGGAGAGGGAAGCGGAAUUCCCGGUGUAGUGGUGAAAUGCGUAGAUAUCGGGAGGAACACCAGUGGCGAAGGCGGCUUCCUGGCCUGUUCUUGACGCUGAGGCGCGAAAGCUAGGGGAGCAAACGGG